GCGUGCAGGGAGCAUGCGUGUUGGGAGGGAUAAACUCCCCAGUAACGGUGGUGACCCUAACGGUAGGGCGAGUCCUGAGGCUGCUGUGGGGAGCGACCGACAGGCCCUUGAGAAGGACUAUGAGGAAAUGGAUGAGCGCAGGAAGAAGACAGGAGAGGCACGUCCAGUGCCAUCCUUGACACCUCGCGCCUAAGGAGCCCAAGCAGCCGCGCGUGGAGGAGGCCCAAGGCCCAGGCGCCCGGGAGGGGCGCGCCCCACAGGCCCCAAGUGUCUGUGCUGGGCCUUGGUGAGCCGCGCGAGGGCGCCGGGCCCUGCAGGGGGCGCUGUAGCCUGGAUGGAGAUGGGCAGACAGGGCCCUGAGGUAGGAGCUGAAGCUGCCUGGAGAAUCCUGGCCUAGCUCAGUGGCGACUGUGUUUAAAAAGUUGCCUUAGGGUCGCUGCUCUGACUGCCUCUGGCCAUUUCCCGCACCUGCCCACCAGUGCUUUCCUCUCCCUUGGGAGCUUGGCCGCGUGGACCUGCCCUGCCUUGAUGAGUCUCUUAGCACAGUGGAGCAGCUGCCUCAGUCCCACCUGUGCCACAGCAUGCCAUGUCGCCCUCACCUGCAGAGCCAGACCUGACCUGGCAAACGCACAGUGCCAAGGCCUCAACUCGGAAUCAUUCACAGCCUGAGGAGCCUCAGGGACCAACCACGCUGCUCCCAGCUAACCUGCAAGAUAUGGACAGCUAUCAGAUUUUUCCAUUUUUUCUUUGUCCUUAUUUGGAAGCCAGACCCACGUCGCAGUCCCCACAUGUGUGUGGCAGGUCCGAAUCACAGCUGUCCCUGGGUUUCCUUCUCUCAGCUCACCAGUGUCAAGUACCAGUGCAUCUCCAAGAACAGUAGCAAGGGCAACAUUGGCCACGAGUGCCCAGACUGCUUCUGUGGCUGCUGCCAACACAGCUCUUCCAGCACCCUCAGUUUCUCAGCACACACUGACUCCACGGUGAACUCUGCAUUCUCUGUGGAUCCCCAAGGAUAAGAUUCCUCAAGUCCGGGGUCAGUUGCCCCUGACCAGUGGUUAGCAUUCCAGACACAUCCUGCAGUCAGAAUCAGCAGGCCUUGGAAAUCAUUUUCCAAAUCCAAGCUUCAGCAUGCUGGGGUGUAUCAUAUGGAAGAUACCUGAUGAGUGAAGCAAUGACUGACCAAUGCAUUGUUUCUGGGACUCAGAAGAGGCAGUUUAUACUUCAGGAUGGAAGUGGAAAAGGAAAUCAGCAAAAUCAGCAAAGGCUUUCAAGAAAAGCCUGUGCUGUCUUUGGAAACAAGCAGCUUUCCAGUGAUGGAUUGAGCUUGGAACUCUUCAGAAGGCCCUACACCAAGGCUUGCUGAGUGUGCUGUCAUCCAUCCAUAUUGAGGAGCAGGAGCUGUAGUUCCUCGUCAGCUGACAGUAGAAGAAAAUGUCACAAUUUGAUCCCACCUACAUUCUGGAAUACAUCUGCCAACAGCUGCAUCAUAAAACAUUUCUCUGAAAGUGUUCCAGUGACAGUGUAAGAGAUUGAGCAUAUUUAAUAUUUUCCUCAGCAUGGGAAAGACCUUAAAGGCAUGACCCAUUUUGUAUAAGUAUAUGAACAUUCUGAGAUGGUUAGACAAUCUGUCUGGUGAUAUCAACAACACACAGCACAUCUGGGUGAGUACAAUUGGUCCACAGGUGAAUUCAGAUCAAGAAUUUAAGAAUGAAACUGUCCACGCCCCAUUUUCCCAUUUUUAAAGAUAACUAGAAUAGCAAAAAAAUUCAUAAACAUUUCUAAGUGAUGCUUAAUCAUAAAAUUUAAAAGAAAAAAAUUGUAAAACACUAAAUGUCUAUCAUUCUGGCUUAUGUAUACCCCCUAGUACACACAAUAUAUACUAUCACAGACAUUGUUUUUGACAUACACUUAUCUAAUAUGCAGUAAUGUCAAUCACUUAACCUUGAAAACAACUUCACUUAUGAAAUGGAAAACAAUUAUUCUUUGCUGUAAGUGAGUAGGAGUAGUCCAUUACCAUAACGAUUCAAACAGAUUCAUGCAUUCACACUUAACAACAAAGUUAGGAAAACAAAAAUAAUUACACUACCAAAUCUGAUCUUUUUGGCAAUUACACAGCCUGCUGAACAUCUGUGAUAGAGGACCAAAGUGAUACCUCUUUUGUCAAAAAAUAAAAAUGCAGAAGUCUGGAAACAAUGAGGUAUUCUCAUUUAAGAACUGCAAUAAUAAAAAUAAAUUGUAUUUUAAAAAUUAAUGUGACAUUUACAAAGUCUAUUCAAGCAUCGUUUUUCUUCUUCUUUAGUUCACUUUGUCCAGCUCAGAUUGUCCCAAUUUUCUUCCUGUGCUGCCACACUAAAAUAUAUUAAUAUGUUGAAUUAUUUAGGUUUCCCUUGACAAAUCUCAAGCGUUAGAGCUACCUGGAGAUGCUCCUCCAACCUUCCUCGAGAAAGUUUUCCAGUAGAACAGGGGAGCACAAGACAGAGGAAACAAAAGAAUCUAGGACAGUGAGGACACUCGCAACAGAGCCCUAUGGAAGACAGACUUCAAGGAGAUAUUCCAGGGAAAGUGAAGCAGCAGGCCUAAGGACAAGCCAGUCCCUCUAAGGCUUGCUGAGUGUACUCUCAUCCAUCCAUAUUGAGGAGCAGGAGCUGUAGUUCCUCGUCAGCUGACAGUAGAAGAAAAUGUCACAGUAAGUUAGACUCACAAAUGUUGGGGCUG